AGCGAACGCUGGCGGCAGGCUUAACACAUGCAAGUCGAGCGGGCACUUCGGUGUCAGCGGCAGACGGGUGAGUAACACGUGGGAACGUACCCUUCGGUUCGGAAUAACGCUGGGAAACUAGCGCUAAUACCGGAUACGCCCUUUUGGGGAAAGGUUUACUGCCGAAGGAUCGGCCCGCGUCUGAUUAGCUAGUUGGUGGGGUAAUGGCCUACCAAGGCGACGAUCAGUAGCUGGUCUGAGAGGAUGAUCAGCCACACUGGGACUGAGACACGGCCCAGACUCCUACGGGAGGCAGCAGUGGGGAAUAUUGGACAAUGGGCGCAAGCCUGAUCCAGCCAUGCCGCGUGAGUGAUGAAGGCCUUAGGGUUGUAAAG
rnacentral:rRNA from 1 species